CAGUAGCCGCGGUAAUACGUAGGGUGCAAGCGUUAAUCGGAAUUACUGGGCGUAAAGCGUGCGCAGGCGGUUAUAUAAGACAGAUGUGAAAUCCCCGGGCUCAACCUGGGAACUGCAUUUGUGACUGUAUAGCUAGAGUACGGCAGAGGGGGAUGGAAUUCCGCGUGUAGCAGUGAAAUGCGUAGAUAUGCGGAGGAACACCGAUGGCGAAGGCAAUCCCCUGGGCCUGUACUGACGCUCAUGCACGAAAGCGUGGGGAGCAAACAGGAUUAGAUACCCCCGUAGUCCCGUCUCUUAUACA
rnacentral:rRNA from 1 species